GUUGGACAUACACACAAAAUCCCCAAUACCUGUAUUCGCUCUGCUAAGUGGUAAUUCCUGGCGUUUUUUUCCUCCCUCCCUCACCUUGCAUCGCUCGCUCAUCGAAGACCGGUUUGCGAGAGCUUUGCGAGAAUCUCUCUCAAUUACUAGGGCACGCAUUCGUGCUCCGUUAAGCAUCUUCCUCUCGCAUUCCUCCAUUCGGAUAUUCACUGGUAUUCUAUAACUGGACUAAUAUUCACAUUCCAAGGGUACACAGAUUCUGCUUUUGGUCAUCCAACAACUCGGAAUGAACUAUAUUUGCAUCUGAUUUUAGUGGAUUUUUUGUGAAUUCAAGUGAUUUAUCUUUUGGAGUCGAGUGUGAACCAAGGAAUUUGUUUAUAAAUACAAAGGCAUAUAGUGUGUGUAUCAGGAACCAUUUUGGAGACUGAAGAUAGCAACCGUUUCCUGGCAGUGGACUUCUUUUUAGCGUUGCCUUUCUGAGGAUUUCUUAGUGAUCAGUGGCCUCGAGGUUUUAUACAGCUAGUCUUGAUGGCCGGAUGAGAGCGAACGUUGCUGGACUGGAUGAUUAGCAAGCUGCGCCCAGGAACGGAGUGGAAACAUGGCAUGCAACGUGUGGUGGAUGUUGUUGAUGUUGCUGAGUUGCUAUUUGUGGAAUGGAA